AACCCAUGAUUAUGCUGGAACUGAUGAAACUGGAUUGCCCAUGAUUAUGCUGGAACUGAUGAAACUGGAUAACCCAUGAUUAUGCUGGAACUGAUGAAACUGGAUUGCCCAUGAUUAUGCUGGAACUGAUGAAACUGGAUAACCCAUGAUUAUGCUGGAACUGAUGAAACUGGAUUACCCAUGAUUAUGCUAGAACUGAUGAAACUGGAUUACCCAUGAUUAUGCUAGAACUGAUGAAACUGGAUUGCCCAUGAUUAUGUUGGAACUGAUGAAACUGGAUAACCCAUGAUUAUGCUGGAACUGAUGAAACUGGAUUACACAUGAUUAUGCUAGAACUGAUGAAACUGGAUUACACAUGAUUAUGCUAGAACUGAUGAAACUGGAUUACACAUGAUUAUGCUGGAACUGAUGAAACUGGGUAACACAUGAUUAUGCUGGAACUGAUGAAACUGGAUUACACAUGAUUAUGCUAGAACUAGUGAAACUGGAUUACCCAUGAUUAUACUAGAACUGAUGAAACUGGAUGACACAUGAUUAUACUAAAACUGAUGAAACUGGAUUACACAUGAUUAUACUAGAACUGAUGAAACUGGAUUACACAUGAUUAUGCUAGAACUGAUGAAACUGGAUUGCCCAUGAUUAUGCUAGAACUGAUGAAACUGGAUUACCCAUGAUUAUAUCUUUAUUGUAUAUAUAUCUUGAUGAAUAUCAACGUAAUAUCUUCAAGUAUAGUAAAAUUGUACGAUAUUUAAAAAUGAAAAUUUGCGAACUCGCCCUACGUGUAAUAGUAUAGUAGCAUAAGUUCUUCCAGAUAUUCGUCUUACUUUUAAUGACAGUAGUGUUAAUUGUUCUGUUAGAAACAUUCAAAUACAGCAUCAAGUUCUAUUUUCGUCGUUAGGGUUCGCAGGCCAAAGAAGAAGAUGAAAAUGAAUCUCCCAGACGGCGGGUGGAUCGAAUCUUCGAACAGCUUGACAAGAACAACGACAACAGACUGACAAUAGAGGAAUUCAAGGAAGGAUCCCGCCAUGAUCCCAAGAUAGUUCAAGCUCUCUCCUUAUACGCUCCUUAAUCCAAAAGCGACCUCUUGUGAAUAUUUUCCGUUAAUUUCUUAUACUCUGUACAUAAAACACUCAACUAAUCUUUAAUUACACUCAGUACGUUUAAUUUUUUGUCAAAGGUUUUUCUGUCUUUUUGAUUCACAAAACACACGUUUUAUUUUUUUAUGUCUCAGAUUCUGAAUUAAAAGAAAGACGUGAUCAUCUCAUGUGGAAUACUUUUAAUAAUUGUCUGUGUCGAGUUGUGUAUACUUUAUCUCAAAACUUACAUGUUCUGAGAUGAAUUCGUAAGAAACUUGUUACGUUUCUGAACAUCAGGGGACCAAGAAGAAUCCAGGAAUGGAAACUCACAGGAAUUCCAACAAGUUCAGUUACGAAUUCUGACACUGGAGGGGGCUUACAGCUGUUUACCUUAAACUCUUCAUGUGCGUGAAUGUUGUAUUAUUUAGAAUACAAUAAAACAUUUAAUCUGCUUAAA